rnacentral:rRNA from 1 species
CACCUCUAGCAUUUCCAGUAUUAGAGGCACUGCCUGCCCAGUGACAUCUGUUUAAACGGCCGCGGUAUCCUAACCGUGCAAAGGUAGCAUAAUCACUUGUUCCCUAAAUAGGGGCUUGUAUGAAUGGCCACACGAGGGUUUUACUGUCUCUUACUUCCAAUCAGUGAAAUUGACCUUCCCGUGAAGAGGCGGGAAUGACUAAAUAAGACGAGAAGACCCUAUGGAGCUUUAAUUAACUGAUUCACAAAAAACAACACACAAACCUAACCUUCAGGGACAACAAAACUUUUGAUUGAAUCAGCAAUUUCGGUUGGGGUGACCUCGGAGAACAAAACAACCUCCGAGUGAUUUAAAUCCAGACUAACCAGUCAAAAUAUAUAAUCACUUAUUGAUCCAAACCAUUGAUCAACGGAACAAGUUACCCUAGGGAUAACAGCGCAAUCCUAUUCCAGAGUCCAUAUCGACAAUUAGGGUUUACGACCUCGAUGUUGGAUCAAGACAUCCUAAUGGUGCAACCGCUAUUAAGGGUUCGUUUGUUCAACGAUUAAAGUCUU